GCUACCCCGAGUCCACUGUCGGCUCCGGAAAAAAACAUUAUCAGUGGUCAUGUAUGGAUGUGAGAGGUGGACUAUAAACAAAGCUGGGCACCGAAGAAUUGAUGCUUUUGAACUGUGGUGUUGGAGAAGACUCUUGAAAGUCCCUUGGACUGCAAGGAGAUGCAACCAGUCCAUUCUGAAGAUCAGUCCUGGGUGUACAUUGGAAGGACUGAUGCUAAAGCUGAAACUCCAAUAACUUUGGCCACCUCAUGCAAAGAGUUGACUCAUUGGAAAAGACCCUGAUGCUGGGAGGGAUUGGGGACAGGAGGAGAAGGGGACGACAGAGGAUGAGAUGGCUGGAUGGCAUCACUGACUCGAUGGACAUGAGUUUAAGUGAACUCUGG
ensembl:lncRNA